GACGAACGCUGGCGGCGUGCUUAACACAUGCAAGUCGAACGGAAAGGCCCUGCUUUUGUGGGGUGCUCGAGUGGCGAACGGGUGAGUAACACGUGAGUAACCUGCCCUUGACUUUGGGAUAACUUCAGGAAACUGGGGCUAGUACCGGACAGGAGCUCCUGCUGCAUGGUGGGGGUUGGAAAGUUUCGGCGGUUGGGGAUGGACUCGCGGCUUAUCAGCUUGUUGGUGGGGUAGUGGCUUACCAAGGCUUUGACGGGUAGCCGGCCUGAGAGGGUGACCGGCCACAUUGGGACUGAGAUACGGCCCAGACUCCUACGGGAGGCAGCAGUGGGGAAUAUUGCACAAUGGGCGGAAGCCUGAUGCAGCAACGCCGCGUGCGGGAUGACGGCCUUCGGGUUGUAAACCGCUUUCGCCUGUGACGAAGCGUGAGUGACGGUAAUGGGUAAAGAAGCACCGGCUAACUACGUG
rnacentral:rRNA from 1 species